rnacentral:rRNA from 1 species
CCUACGGGGUGCAGCAGUGAGGAAUAUUGGUCAAUGGCCGAGAGGCUGAACCAGCCAAGUCGCGUGAGGGAAGACGGCCCUACGGGUUGUAAACCUCUUUUGUCGGGGAGCAAAGCGAACCACGUGUGGUUCAUUGAGCGUACCCGAAGAAAAAGCAUCGGCUAACUCCGUGCCAGCAGCCGCGGUAAUACGGAGGAUGCGAGCGGUAUCCGGAUUUAUUGGGGUUAAAGGGUGCGCAGGGGGAGGUGCAAGUCACCGGUAAAAUUGCGGGGCUCAACCCCGUACUGCAGUUGAAACUGCAUGCCUUGAGUGCGCGAGAAGUAUGCGGAAUGCGUGGUGUAGCGGUGAAAUGCAUAGAUAUCACGAAGAACUCCGAUUGCGAAGGCAGCAUACCGGAGCGCAACUGACGCUCAUGCACGAAAGCGUGGGUAUCUAACAGGAUUAGAUACCCCUGUAGUC